UACGUAGGGGGGCAAGCGUUGUCCGGAUUUAUUGGGCGUAAAGAGCGUGUAGGCGGUUUGGUAGGUCCGCUGUGAAAACUCGAGGCUCAACCUCGAGACGCCGGUGGAAACCAUCAGACUAGAGUCCGGAAGAGGAGAGUGGAAUUCCUGGUGUAGCGGUGAAAUGCGCAGAUAUCAGGAGGAACACCGGUGGCGAAGGCGGGUCUCUGGGCCGAUAUUGACGCUGAGGAGCGAAAGCGUGGGGAGCGAACAGG
rnacentral:rRNA from 1 species